CAAUAUAUAUAUAUAUAUAUAUAUAUAUAUAGUUGAGCUAGAAUACUAUCGGUAGUAAACGAGCUAUUUUACUACCGAUUUGUUUUCGAUGAUAGAGCUUCUAAAUUGACGAUCGGCUCCGUUGAACAUGAUCUAUACCACUUGAAAUGUUUAGAAAUCAGAUUUCAAAUCUUUUCGACGUCAUUUGCUUAAUGAUCAAAGGGUUUCAAAAUUUGUAAUUUUAAUGGUCGAUAAGAGGCGUUUUCUCGUUUACCGGCGUAAAGAUAUCCAAAUCAAUUGAAUUUUUGUUAGAAAAUUCUUUAAACUAUUUAAAACAAGAUCUAUACUCAUUUUUAGUUAACACUUUGUGAUGUGAUUUAGCGUGGACGUCAAAGUGACGAUCUCACUUUGAAUCAAUACGUUACACUAUUUAUUUUGAUAAUUAUAUAAAGAUGUAAGUCUAUUUAUUUCGCUGGGAAAAUUAUUUUGUAACCAAUCAAUGUCUAGCCUGAUCGGGCAUGUAAAUGGAGUCUCUUACUGUUUUGCCAACUUAGCUGGCCGUUUAUUUGUGUGUCAGUGUUUUUUUUAGUUAUUAAGAGGAGAGGACAUUGCUCAAAUGCGAUUUGAGCUUAAGUCUAACUCCUUUAGUCGGUGUAAAUACAAGCUACGUGACUUUCUCUUAUAGAUAGAGUUAGUAUAAUAUAUAGAACAUUUUUCAUGUGCAUGGCAGUUUUUUAAUCAAAUAUUCGAAGUAUCUCUCCAAUUGUGAAGCUUUUUCAUCACAGUAUAUAUCCAAAUGGUGUCUUCUGAAACUAAUAACAACCGACACGGGCCACUCAAAAGAAUGAAUAUUCCUUCCUAAAAAGUGAUAUAAGAAUGUAUGUUAUCCUACACGUAUUGCGUAAAUAUUAAGUAUUUAAAGGGUCAAUCUUGUUCUAACAAAUGUUAUACACCCAUUUAUAAAAUCUCUUCCCAGCUAUCGUUAAGAAUUGCCAGCUUAAUGCGAAAAUCAUAUACAUUAAUACGGUUAAACGAGAAAACGCCUCAUAUCGACCACUUAAAAUUAGCAAAUUCGAAACCGGAUCAUUAGUCAAUGAUGUCGAAAAAGUUGAAAUUGAUUCUAGAUACUUCAGGUGAUAUAGAUAUGUCCACUGUGCCGACUUGCACAAUUUGUAAGAUCUCCAUCAUUUGAAAACGAAAUGGUAGCAACGAGCCAUUUGCUACUGAUAGUAUUUCAGCUCAACUCAAUAUAAUAUAUAUAAUAUAUUAUAUAUUAUAAUAUAUAUAUAAUUAUAUAUAUAUAUAAUAUAUAUAAUAUAUAAUAUAUUAUGAGGUUGGCGCUUGUCUCUUAAGAGCACAGGGCAGCCCUGUGCUCCUAAAGCAUCAGCCAUCCAUCUAAAUAGAUGGAUGGCUGACGAUUGGAGGAGCUUUUAAAAUUAACCCCCAGUUUUUUUUAGAUUGUUAACCAACCAUAUUUUCUCUUCCUCUUUUUUGUUUUUGUCUUUUUUUUUUUCUUUUCUCUUUUUCUCUUUCCUUUUUCUUUUCAUUCGUCCGGAGCGGGAAGUCAUGCCCGAGCGGGGGGGGGGGGGAGUGCUGCCAGAAUGGGGGGCGGUCAGCGCCGAGGGUGAAGGUCGUGCGCGGGCGCGAGGGGGGCGGUCGCCGCGCGGGGUCGCCCGAGCGAAGGUCGGGGGGGGGGGGCUCGGCCGAGGGCAGGGUCGCGCGUGGGGUGCUCGCGGGGGUGCCUGGGUGCGGCGCGGCCGGUCUGAUGCUGAGGGGGCUCCCGCGCUAACCACUCCAGUGGCGCUCAAGGGUCGAGGAGCUCCGCGAUUCAACAGGAAGAGGCGAGACAGGGAGAGAGAUUUCGGGAAAGAACGAUGGAGAUGAAGCAUGUUAGAGAUAUGGAGUUGAGAACCUGGGAAGAACGACAGUGAGAAGGAAGAAGAGAUAAAGAGAAAAGAAAAGAAAAAAAGACAUAAUCAACAGAAAAGAGGAGAAGAAAUUAUGGUUUGGUAACCCAUCUACGCGGGUUACCUUUUAAAAGCUCCUCCGAAUCUUCACCAUCCAUCUAUUAGUAUGGAUGGGCUGAUGCCUUAGGAGCACAAGGCGCUGGCUCUAAGAUGCACAGCAGCCCAAUUCUAUAUAUAUAUAUAUAAUAUAUAUAUAUAAUAUAUAUAUAGAAAAGAAGAGAGAGAGAGAGAGAGAGAAGAGCGCUUGGUCUGGUAUACUAUCCGAUAGCACAGAGCUCAGUGCUCCAAUUGUUUUGCAAUUGAUUUCGGCUUCAAAUCGACGAUGCAGCCAUUAAAACAUGAUCUCACACUAUUAAAAGUAUUUGAAAACUAAUAUGUUCAAAUUUUUCAUAUCAUUAUCUCUAUCAACAUGAGUCUAGUGCAAAAUGAAGGCCUGAAAAUAAAAAUCUCAUAAAAAUAAUGAUAAAAUAUUUGAAUUUAAGAUAGACAGUUACCUGAUCUUACUCUAAAUAGUGAAAAGAAUUUUUUAUAAACUGUCAUCAGAUUUGGAUUGU
rnacentral:lncRNA from 1 species